rnacentral:rRNA from 1 species
GACGAACGCUGGCGGCGUGCUUAACACAUGCAAGUCGAACGAUGAACCAGAGCUUGCUCUGGGGAAUAGUGGCGAACGGGUGAGUAACACGUGGGCAACCUGCCCCAGACACCGGGAUAACCAUUCGAAAGGAUGGCUAAUACCGGAUAUGACCACUUCAGGCAUCUGAUGGUGGUGGAAAGGAUUCUGGUCUGGGAUGGGCCCGCGGCCUAUCAGCUUGUUGGUGGGGUAAUGGCCUACCAAGGCGACGACGGGUAGCAGGCCUGAGAGGGCGACCGGCCACACUGGGACUGAGACACGGCACAGACUCCUACGGGAGGCAGCAGUGGGGAAUAUUGCGCAAUGGGCGAAAGCCUGACGCAGCGACGCCGCGUGAGGGACGAAGGUCUUCGGAUUGUAAACCUCUUUCAGCAGGGAUGAAGCGAAAGUGACAGUACCUGCAGAAGAAGCACCGGCUAACUACGUGCCAGCCGCCGCAGUAACAC